AUUGAACGCUGGCGGCAUGCUUUACACAUGCAAGUCGAACGGUAACAGGUUAAGCUGACGAGUGGCGAACGGGUGAGUAAUGCAUCGGAACGUGCCCGAUCGUGGGGGAUAACGCAGCGAAAGCUGCGCUAAUACCGCAUACGAUCUGAGGAUGAAAGCGGGGGACCGUAAGGCCUCGCGCGAUCGGAGCGGCCGAUGUCAGAUUAGGUAGUUGGUGGGGUAAAGGCUCACCAAGCCGACGAUCUGUAGCUGGUCUGAGAGGACGACCAGCCAAACUGGGACUGAGACACGGCCCAGACUCCUACGGGAGGCAGCAGUGGGGAAUUUUGGACAAUGGGCGGAAGCCUGAUCCAGCAAUGCCGCGUGCAGGAAGAAGGCCUUCGGGUUGUAAACUGCUUUUGUACGGAGCGAAAAGGCUCUCUCUAAUACAGGGGGCUCAUGACGGUACCGUAAGAAUAAGCACCGGCUAACUACGUGCCAGCCGCCGCAGUAACAC
rnacentral:rRNA from 1 species